ACGUCACGGAGAUGUGUGAAGUGAAGUUUAGUGUUGUGAUGCAGUGAUUAUAUAAAAAAUGUGUUUUUAUCGCAAGAAAAUGUGUUUGAUCAUGGGCGAGGGCGCAGUAAGAGGCAACAUGGCGACAAAAAGGCAGCUCGUUGAAGGAAAAGUGCGGCAAAGGUUUUCGCAAAAGUAACCGAAUAGAGCGUGGGAGA